GGUGGCUCAGUGGUAGAGUGCUUGUCUUGCAUACAUGAGGCCCUGGGUUCAAUUCCCUAGCACCA
rnacentral:tRNA from 1 species